rnacentral:rRNA from 1 species
UACGAAGGGGGCUAGCGUUGCUCGGAAUCACUGGGCGUAAAGCGCACGUAGGCGGAUCUUUAAGUCAGGGGUGAAAUCCUGGAGCUCAACUCCAGAACUGCCUUUGAUACUGGGGAUCUCGAGUCCGGGAGAGGUGAGUGGAACUCCGAGUGUAGAGGUGAAAUUCGUAGAUAUUCGGAAGAACCCCAGUGGCGAAGGCGGCUCACUGGCCCGGUACUGACGCUGAGGUGCGAAAGCGUGGGGAGCAAACAGG